UACGGAGGGUGCGAGCGUUAAUCGGAAUUACUGGGCGUAAAGGGUGCGUAGGUUGUUGAUUAAGUUAUCUGUGAAAUCCCUGGGCUCAACCUGGGCAAGUCAGAUAAGACUGAUUGACUCGAGUAUAAGAGAGGGUAGUGGAAUUUCCGGUGUAGCGGUGAAAUGCGUAGAUAUCGGAAGGAACACCAGUGGCGAAGGCGGCUACCUGGCUUAAUACUGACACUGAGGCACGAAAGCGUGGGGAGCAAACAGG
rnacentral:rRNA from 1 species